rnacentral:rRNA from 1 species
UGCCAGCCGCCGCGGUAAGACGGAGGGUGCAAGCGUUGUUCGGAACCACUGGGCAUAAAGCGCACGUAGGCGGACUAUUAAGUCAGGGGUGAAAUCCCGGGGCUCAACCCCGGAACUGCCCUUGAUACUGGUAGUCUAGAGUUCGAGAGAGGUGAGUGGAAUUCCGAGUGUAGAGGUGAAAUUCGUAGAUAUUCGGAGGAACACCAGUGGCGAAGGCGGCUCACUGGCUCGAUACUGACGCUGAGGUGCGGAAGUGUGGGGAGCAAACAGGAUUAGAUA